AUGAAGUAUUUUCUAGUUGUAUAAUUUCUGGGCUUUGUUCAUUUGUCCAGGUGCAGACGCCACAACAGCAACAUCUGCAACCAAUGAUGCUACAAUUACACCACAAGAUUGUUCUGCUCUGAGCUACAUAAUGUUGGUGAUGCAUGUGGCUGAACUCCUCCUCAUCACUGUGAUUACUGUUCUUCUCUUCAGAGCUCGAGGGAACCAGAGACCACCUGAUGACAACAUUGAUUUAAACUCAGUAAGAAGCCAAACAGUGAAGCGUUCUGGUCCAGCAGCCAGUCAGG